CCUGACUCUAGAGGCUUUUCAGGAGUGGCUAUUAUAUCACGCAUGCAUAGGUAGAUGGCAGAGAGAUGGCCUAUGUCUAUGCUCAAUGUUCUGACCUGGAAAUAUCUGAAUGUUUAGUAAUCUAACACU
ensembl:snoRNA Gm25415 predicted gene, 25415